rnacentral:rRNA from 1 species
UACGAAGGGAGCUAGCGUUGUUCGGAAUCACUGGGCGUAAAGCGCACGUAGGCGGAUGUGUCAGUCAGGGGUGAAAUCCCGGAGCUCAACUCCAGAACUGCCUUUGAUACUGGGGAUCUCGAGUCCGGAAGAGGUGAGUGGAACUCCGAGUGUAGAGGUGAAAUUCGUAGAUAUUCGGAAGAACACCAGUGGCGAAGGCGGCUCACUGGUCCGGUACUGACGCUGGGGUGCGAAAGCGUGGGGAGCAAACAGG